UGAUGUUAUGCUAGUCUCCAGUUCUCCACACACAACUUCACUGAGAGACUCAAGAAGCAACACGUUGCAUUUCGCUUUGAGAAGAGCAACAGCUCUGCCCGGAUGCAGUGAAUGGGAAACCAAUGGACUGGCCAGUUACCCCCUCACGUCUCCAAGCAGGUCAGCCCACAGAACUGGGACUUGCACAGCCCCACAGGCUGCACAGCCAACUCAAAGUUUACAGGCAAUUUGUUCAAAGCAAAGUUGUUGCAUCAGACUCAAUUACUUAAUACAGGUUUUCCAGUUUGCAAAGAGAAGGUUAUCUGGGUUUUCAGCAGGAUCCUUAAGAGAAGCCUGCAGAUUUCUAAGGGGUCUGCGAGCCAUGGCUACCACUGUACUAAUACAGAGUUUUCUGUUCACAUAUGCUAUUAACAUCCUUAGCACUCCAGGUUUAAUGAAAUGAACCACUAAACUGAAACAAAGUAGCAGGCAAUGUCUCAUCAGUAACACAUAUCUUAUCUGUUACCUAUCUUGGAUUAAAAAGUUAUCCCCACGAAAAUAAAAACUUUUUGAUGUGCACAGGGCAGAACAGUGCUAUCCUUCUAAUCCUGGAGAAGCCUUCAGAAGUAUUAUGGCCAUGAAAAAGAAUUGGACUUCUGCAUUGGUAUGCCAAUUAAGCCUGAAUGAACACCUGAGUAUGGUCAGCAUGGGGCAGCUUAGAGAAGAGAAAAUUCAAUUUCAAAAGACAGGGAGACAGGUAGGGAAAUUUUAAAUUUAUUGCUUCACAAGAUCUGAGUGGUUUAGGCUGGAGAUCACCCAGCCCUGCCCAGGUGGGGUCAGCUACAGCCGGGUUUGAAAGGACGGAGGAAACUCCACAACCGCUCCGGGCAACCUGUGCCACCGUCUGGCCAUCCGUAGAGCAAAACCUGCUUUCUCUCAUGUUUGAAUGGGGUUCCCGCAUAUCACUUUGCGCCCAACAAAUUCAAAGAUGCACUGUAUGUUAUUCCGCUCGUAAUCUACUUUUCCCCAUGCCUGGCUUCGAAGCGAGACGAACAGGAGCGCCCAGACCCAUCCAAGAGCCAGAGAUGAGCUCCGGACCCUGCAGCGACGGAGGGAAAAGCGGCCCCGGGUGCGACAGGGACCCCCGAAGGCGGCCGGCAGCCCCCCGCGGGCCCGGCCCGCAGGUUGAGCCGUUUCCCAAGCGAGAGGCCCGGGGAAGCUGCAGCCCGGACGGCCCGUGCCCCCCCCGGCGGAGCCCCGAGCCCCCCGCCCGGGUCGCACCGCCCCCCGCCGGCGUUUGAAUUCCGCGCGCGGCCGCCAGGGCCCCGCCGAGCCGCCGCCGCCGGCCCCCGCAGCCGUUGUGUCCCCGGCGGCCCCUCAGGCGCCGGCGGGAGCCGCAGCGGAGUCCGCGCAGGGUCUGCUCCCCCGAGGCGCGGCCCUCCCGCCCCCGCAGUCCCCUCAAGAGGGGGUCGGCGCAGGGCGGGCGGAAAGGCCGCGGCGGAGCCUCUCAGACAGAUGGGGGAAAGCAUGAAGAAGGACGAAGGAGUACCCCCGGAGCCCGCGGCUCGGUCCGUACUCACCGCCCGCCUUCAUCGCGCCGUGUCCCCCGGGACCGAGCGGACACCAGCGGCCGCCGCACCCAGCCCGGCUCAGGCCUCGUGAUUGGCUGGAAAGCUGAGGAGAGGCGGUACCCGUCCCGCCUCGCGGGCCGUGAUUGGGCGUCGAGGAUGCGAAUUCGAAUUGGGGCAGUUGGCGGUUCGAGCUUCUCGCGGACACUGCGGCUGCGGCGCAUGCGUACGGGUCAGGAUUUCCCCCCAUCCACCCAAGUGUGGGGGUGUUGCCGUGACAACCGGCUCCGGUUGCGCGCCUGUUCCCCUCGGGUCGGUGCCGCGGUCCUGCCGGGGACCAGCACGGAGCCGGGGCCUGCGGCUAUGGCGCAGCGGUGGCCCGCGGUCCCCAGGAGCCCGGGAUCCCCUCCUCCGCACUAGCCCUCAGCCGGCAGCGGCCUUGCCUGCUGCUGUGGUGCUGCUCACCCACAGCCGCCCACUCCAGCAGCGAGGCCUGCCCGGCCAAGGGAGCUACACCAUUCAAACUGCUGAGGGAACGCUGGUGUCUUACAUCCAUCUGAUUUAUCUCCGCUCUGAGUACCUGGGGUCUGGGGGUGUCAGUGCUGGAGCAAGAGCCGCAGGGAUGCUGGAGAAAUGACAGACAGACCAUUUCUGAUGACCUGAACCUUCACCUCCGCAGAGCCCAGCUCCUGCCCCUUCAUGGCCUUGUGUGAGCGGGAGGGGGAAUUAGGAAGACAAUUGGGAGUCAAAAGUUCAAACCUGAGUCAAGGAUUCAGAGGAAAGCCCUGAUCCUCAAUGCAAGGAGCAUAAAGGUGCAGAGAGAUAAAGAUGUCUACUGAAGAGGCUGGCAGACAAACAAGGCGGUGUCAGGAAAACCAGUUAUUGCCCUAGCUCACCUGAAGACUUUUGUGAGUUUUUUUAGAAAAGAGCAGCAAGAAGAGGAGCUGUCAUUUUGUGGGACAUAAAAUGACUGUGUAAUGAUUUGUAGUGGCUGGAAACUUUCCCAACAUUGUGUACCUUGAAUAAACAUUGUCAGUCCCAGCGCAGUUGAGCUUU